rnacentral:rRNA from 1 species
UGUCGCGGACAUUCCUUCGCGGGAGUCUCGGUGCGACGGUGGCGUGCGGCGGCGGGUGCACUUUCGGCGCGUCGAGCGCCACGACCGGUUUGCCGGCGGUCAGAAGCGUUCGGGAAAGGUGGCCAUCGCUUCGGCGUUGGUGUUAUAGACCCGGACGGCGUUGGCCCGUCGGCGGACCGUGGAAGACCUUCGCGGUCGGCGUCCCGCUUCGUCUCUGCUCGGCCGACCGACUGGAGGAAACUGUCGUCAGUGUCCUCCGACUGCGGUCGUUCAGCGGGCGGACGUGUGGGCGUCGCACUCGGCGUCGGUGGCGAAUCGGUCGGUAACCUGUCCGACCCGUCUUGAAACACGGACCAAGGAGUCUAACAUGUGCGCGAGUCAUUGGGCACGUACGAAACCCAGAGGCACAAUGAAAGUGAAGGCCUUCCCCGAGGUUGGCCCAGGCCGGAUCCGUGGCACGGCAACGUGUCGCGGCGCACGGCCGGCCCGUCUCGACUGCAGCGUCAGUGAGGCGGCGCUAGAGCGUACACGUUGGGACCCGAAAGAUGGUGAACUAUGCCUGAGUAGGACGAAGCCAGAGGAAACUCUGGUGGAGGUCCGCAGCGAUUCUGACGUGCAAAUCGAUCGUCAAACU